AUUGAACGCUGGCGGCAUGCCUAACACAUGCAAGUCGAACGAGACCUUCGGGUCUAGUGGCGCACGGGUGCGUAACGCGUGGGAAUCUGCCCUUGGGUGCGGAAUAACAGUUAGAAAUGACUGCUAAUACCGCAUAAUGACUCCGGUCCAAAGAUUUAUCGCCCAGGGAUGAGCCCGCGUCGGAUUAGCUAGUUGGUAGGGUAAAAGCCUACCAAGGCAACGAUCCGUAGCUGGUCUGAGAGGAUGAUCAGCCACACUGGGACUGAGACACGGCCCAGACUCCUGCGGGAGGCAGCAGUGGGGAAUAUUGGAAAAGGGGCGAAAGCCUGAUCCAGCAAUGCCGCGUGGGUGAUGAGGGCUUUAGGGUUGUAAAGCUCUUUUCCCCGGGAGGAUAAUGACAGUACCGGGAGAAUAAGCCCCGGCUAACUCCGGGCCAGCAGCCGCAGUAACAC
rnacentral:rRNA from 1 species